rnacentral:rRNA from 1 species
GACGAACGCUGGCGGCGUGCCUAAUACAUGCAAGUUGAGCGAUGAAGAUUGGUGCUUGCACCAAUUUGAAGAGCAGCGAACGGGUGAGUAACGCGUGGGGAAUCUGCCUUUGAGCGGGGGACAACAUUUGGAAACGAAUGCUAAUACCGCAUAACAACUUUAAACAUAAGUUUUAAGUUUGAAAGAUGCAAUUGCAUCACUCAAAGAUGAUCCCUCGUUGUAUUAGCUAGUUGGUGAGGUAAAGGCUCACCAAGGCGAUGAUACAUAGCCGACCUGAGAGGGUGAUCGGCCACAUUGGGACUGAGACACGGCCCAAACUCCUACGGGAGGCAGCAGGAGGGAAUCUUCGGCAAUGGACGAAAGUCUGACCGAGCAACGCCGCGGGAGUGAAGAAGGGUUUCGGAUCGUAAAACUCUGUUGGUAGAGAAGAACGUUGGUGAGAGUGGAAAGCUCAUCAAGUGACGGUAACUACACAGAAAGGGACGGCUAACUACGUG